UUAUAAUACAACCUGAUAAGUG
rnacentral:miRNA from 13 species